rfam:Mustela putorius furo unplaced genomic scaffold scaffold00037, whole genome shotgun sequence.
GGAUGUGAGGGUGAUCUGGCUGUGACAUAUGUCACCCCAUUGAUGGCCUCGGGUUGAUUUAGCUGAUUUGGAUGGCCAGGAGAUGUCACCUCCCUCCCUCCCUCAGGAAGUAGACAUGCUCUUUUGAAGAGGACAACCUUCCCCGAUGGAGGAGGGGUAUUCCCUGGUCAAGGAUAUGGGAGUAGGUGUUCUCUCCUGCUACUCUCUCCAAACAAGCUCUCAAAGUCCAUUUGUAGGAAAACAGGGUGGGGUAGUCAAGAUUUCAAGACUCCAGACACAUUCAAAUGAGAUGCUUUCUUU